AUUGAACGCUGGCGGCAUGCCUAACACAUGCAAGUCGAACGGCAGCACAGCAGUAGCAAUACUGUGGGUGGCGAGUGGCGGACGGGUGAGGAAUACGUCGGAAUCUGCCCAGUCGUGGGGGAUAACUAGCCGAAAGGUUAGCUAAUACCGCAUACGACCGAGAGGUGAAAGCGGGGGACCGCAAGGCCUCGCGCGAUUGGAUGAGCCGACGUCGGAUUAGCUAGUUGGCGGGGUAAAGGCCCACCAAGGCGACGAUCCGUAGCUGGUCUGAGAGGAUGAUCAGCCACACUGGAACUGAGACACGGUCCAGACUCCUACGGGAGGCAGCAGUGGGGAAUAUUGGACAAUGGGCGCAAGCCUGAUCCAGCAAUGCCGCGUGUGUGAAGAAGGCCUCGGUUGUAAGCGACUUUAUCUAGAACGAAAGACGUUAGGAGUUAAUACUACUGACGUGCGUGACGGUACCGUGUAGGAAUAAGACACCGGCUAACUUCG
rnacentral:rRNA from 1 species